AUUCACAACCCAUACCAGCCGGAAUUCGCCUGAUAUCGUCUGAUCUCUGAAGCUAAGCAGGCUCGGGCCUGGUUAGUACUUGGAUUGGAGACCACCUGGGAACACCAGGUGCUGUAAGCU
ensembl:rRNA 5S_rRNA 5S ribosomal RNA